rnacentral:rRNA from 1 species
GAGAGGAAUAUUGGUCAAUGGGCGAGAGCCUGAACCAGCCAAGUCGCGUGAAGGAUGAAGGUUUUAUGAAUUGUAAACUUCUUUUGCAGGGGAAUAAAGUACGGUACGUGUACCGUUUUGUAUGUACUCUGCGAAUAAGGAUCGGCUAACUCCGUGCCAGCAGCCGCGGUAAUACGGAGGAUCCAAGCGUUAUCCGGAUUUAUUGGGUUUAAAGGGUGCGCAGGCGGGUUGAUAAGUCAGCGGUGAAAGUUUGCAGCUUAACUGUAAAAUUGCCGUUGAAACUGUCGAUCUUGAGUGCAAAUGAGGUAAGCGGAAUGUGUUGUGUAGCGGUGAAAUGCUUAGAUAUAACACAGAACACCGAUUGCGAAGGCAGCUUACUGGGAUGCAACUGACGCUCAUGCACGAAAGCGUGGGGAUCAAACAGGAUUAGAAACCCGGGUAGUCC